rnacentral:rRNA from 1 species
GGGAUUGCCCUAGUAACGGCGAGUGAAGCGGCAAUAGCUCAAAUUUGAAAGCUGGCCUUCUGGUCCGCAUUGUAAUUUGUAGAGGAUGCUUUUAGGCAGCCGCCGGUCUAAGUUCCUUGGAACAGGACGUCAUAGAGGGUGAGAAUCCCGUAUGUGACCGGCUCUGGCACCUUAUGUAAAGCUCCUUCGACGAGUCGAGUUGUUUGGGAAUGCAGCUCUAAAUGGGAGGUAAAUUUCUUCUAAAGCUAAAUACUGGCGAGAGACCGAUAGCGCACAAGUAGAGUGAUCGAAAGAUGAAAAGCACUUUGGAAAGAGAGUUAAAAAGCACGUGAAAUUGUUGAAAGGGAAGCGCUUGCAAUCAGACUUGGACUUGGCUGUUCAACCGGUCUUCUGACCGGCCCACUCAGUCUUGUCCAGGCCAGCAUCAGUUUCGGCGGCCGGAUAAAGGCCCUGGGAAUGUAGCUGCCCCCUCGGGGGCAGUGUUAUAGCCCGGGGUGUAAUACGGCCAGCUGGGACUGAGGUCCGCGCUUCGGCUAGGAUGCUGGCGUAAUGGUUGUAAGCGGCCCGUCUUGAAACACGGACCAAGGAGUCUAACAUCUAUGCGAGUGUUAGGGUGUCAAACCCUUACGCGUAAUGAAAGUGAACGGAGGUGGGAACCCGCAAGGGUGCACCAUCGACCGAUCCUGAUGUCUUCGGAUGGAUUUGAGUAAGAGCAUAGCUGUUGGGACCCGAAAGAUGGUGAACUAUGCCUGAAUAGGGUGAAGCCAGAGGAAACUCUGGUGGAGGCUCGCAGCGGUUCUGACGUGCAAAUCGAUCGUCAAAUUUGGGUAUAGGGGCG